GUCUACCAUGCAGUCGACGGUAACAGCAGAGCUUGCUCUGGCUGACGAGUGGCGCACGGGUGAGUAAUAUAUAGUUAAUGUGCCCCAAAGACUAGGAUAGCCACUGGAAACGGUGAUUAAUACUGGAUAAGCCUCUAUUACAAAAGUAAGCGAGGAAAACGUUUUUUCGCUUUGGGAUCAGACUAUAUCCUAUCAGGUAGUUGGUGAGGUAAGAGCUCACCAAGCCAAUGACGGGUAGCGGGUUUGAGAGGAUGAUCCGCCACACUGGUACUGAGACACGGACCAGACUCCUACGGGAGGCAGCAGUGAGGAAUAUUGCACAAUGGGGGGAACCCUGAUGCAGCAACGCCGCGUGGAGGAUGACGCAUUUCGGUGUGUAAACUCCUUUUAUAUGUCAAGAAAAUGACGGUAGCAUAUGAAUAAGCACCGGCUAACUCCGUGCCAGCAGCCGCGGUAAUACGGAGGGUGCAAGCGUUACUCGGAAUCACUGGGCGUAAAGGACGCGUAGGCGGGUUGGAAAGUCUGAUGUGAAAUCCUACAGCUUAACUGUAGAACUGCAUUGGAAACUUCCAACCUAGAGUAUGGGAGGGGGAGAUGGAAUUAGUGGUGUAGGGGGUAAAAUCCGUAGAUAUCACUAGGAAUACCGAAAGCGAAGGCGAUCUGCUGGAACAUAACUGACGCUAAGGCGUGAAAGCG
rnacentral:rRNA from 1 species